UUGACAGAUAUGUGCCUAAGAAACGCUCUGUCUGAGGGCACCAGAGGAAGAACAGACACCAACUCAGAGCCAAGGAUCCUGUGUGACCUGGGCACCGAGGCAACGGAGGAAGAGGUGGAGGAAGAGGAGGGUGAGGACAGUGACCGUCUGACAUUUUUUCCAGUCCUGACUGAGACGACUACCACCGCUCCGACUAAGCCCUGCCCGGCCGAGCCCACGACCCCUGACUCCUGCUCGCGCACGCACACCUGCAGCCUAAUACACACCCUGCUGCAGGAACUGCAGCCCGCGGAGGAGGUGAGCGCGCGACUGUGUCAGCUGGCAUACCAGGGGCUUGAUCCUGUGUGAUGACAUCUAAAACCGAUUUACACAAAAUGUGUCGUUUACACAAAAUGAGUCCUCUGCUUUGGGAAAGAUCUAUAGUUUUCAUCAUCCGCUUUUAUCAUAUUCUCAUCUGUUAUAGUUAGCAUGGAGUGGGAUGUGUGUGUAUAAGGGGGUGUGUAUGUGGACGUGUGUUGCCAUGUUAACAGGGCUUUCUGAAGCUCAAGACAACCAGCAGAGUGUUUUAAUAAUGUUUCUGACAGAGGAAUUAAUAAAAACAGUAGGAGGUUGCAUCAGCUGUCUCCCAGCUAGUUGGCGUGUGUGUGUGUGUGUAUGUGUCCUGCUGAGCUGCUGUCAGAUACACAUGCCUUAUUAAUCCACCCCCCCCUCUCCCAACCACACACACACAUAAAUUCACUCACACAAAUGUGGACUUGAUUAGGCUUGGCCCGCCAAUAGUGUGAUUAUGAUGGUAAUCUGUGUGGGGGUGAAAUCAAUGGUGUGACAUUAGCCUCUCAGUCAAUAUCAACCUCCUUCUCGUCCUCUGCUGCACCUCCCUUUCUCUUCUCCACUCACCUGCUCCUCAGUUCAGCUGACUCCCCCCACUUUUCUGUGACCCUCCAUUACCUGAGUCACAGUAGCUGAAGUCAUGUGUGUUUAGGUCCUUUUCUGUUCCCUGUACAGAAUUAGUUUUGUCAAUGUUUUUCAGUGCAUGUGUCUUCGUUUGUGUGUACGGCGGUUCAGAUUGAUCAGACGAGAGGCUCUUAUCACUUAGCAGGUUUCCUAUUGUGUGUGUGACAGUGAUUCAUUUCCCUAAUAACAGCCGGGCCCCUCUUUUCUCCCAGUCUUUGUGAUUUGAUUAGUAUUAAUUGUGAGGAGCCUGUGGAUGCGUUUUGGCCCCAUAUGUUUUUUUGGGUGUCAGGUCCCACGAGGCUGAGAAAGGGAAAAAAGAUUGAGAGGGAGCCAGGUGCGCACAUGCGCGCACACACACACACUCACACCCAGAGUGGAAAAUGAUAGAAUAAAAUAGAAUUAGUCACACAUAAUCUAAAUUGUAGCCAUGACUGGAUUCCAAGUCAAACACAAUAGAAAUCAGGGUUCAGGGUUCAGCCGGAGCGCCGCCAUCUUCGUGGAGAGGGAGCCAGUCUUUCUCUCCCUUAUCCAAUCAAUCAAUGUUAAUAAUCUCAAUAAUGAAGUGGGGACAGUGUCAUUUUAAUCAUGAUGAAGACGUGUGAUUAAAAUGAUCAAUCAAGUGCACGCCGUGGAGAGGAGGAUGUCUUGGCGUUCCACGGGGGUGUAGACUCAGACAUGGGCUGGGUUUAAUGGCUUGCAUAUUCGCAUGUAGCAUUACAUACGUCUUCACUGAAGACGAAACCGCUCCUUUAAGAUUGUUAUAAAUUCUUAUAAAUAUUUACAACUAUUGUUGCAACUCUACAAUUCUUUACAAAUCCCGUGCCCCAUUUUUGAAAAGUCACCCGUCCGGUUAUUGGAUAGGUGUACCGGAAUAGAAAUUGAGUGAAUAAAACAGGACUCCAAAUUAAUGACUGCUCCUUUCUAUUUUUUCUAUUUCCUUUUACCCUUUGCCAUAGGCAAUAUCUGAUCUCAGAGUGUCCAGUCCUCCGGUGAUGAGACAGCUGAGUAUACUUGUAUGUAGAGUCGACCCUCUCGUAAAUGAGGGACUUGAUUUCCAGUUGUGAUGUCUUCUGUUCUCCCUCCUCCAGAUCAAAGUAAAGGCCUGUGUGUUGGUGGUCAGUGGUUUGUCAGUAACAGAGGGCGUGCUGCUGUUUGGGAGCGAGAGUCUGUACGUGUGUGAGGGCUUCACCCUAACCCCAACUGGAGACGUCUGCUGUAGGAAACAUCAUCCCACCAGGUACCAUCACACGGAGAUAGAGGGAGAGAGAUAGGGGAGAGAAGGACAAACACAGACAAGAGAGAUUAUACAUGAAACUGUGUCUCCCUCCCUUCCUCUUUUCCACAGUGUGCGUGACUCGUACAUUUCCAGUAUGUUGACUACAGACAUAACCUCAUCCAGACGGUGGCCGUACCAGGACAUAAGAGAGGUCCACUUCAUGCGUUUCCUUUUAGAGGUGAGAGUUCACACAGAGAUCCCCUGCCCAAGGAAAUGGCACUUAUUUCAUUGACGCAACA
rnacentral:lncRNA from 1 species